ACCAUCCUUUUCUUGGUGUUGUGGUACUGUCCAAUGAGCACAUAAUGAGGGCAAUACUGCUAACACCUAAACAACACAUCCAUAUCAACUAGAGCUUUGCUUCACCUUGGUGCAAUUUUUGGAAAA
ensembl:snRNA